CGGUGUAAUGAAUAUACCUCUGAUUGUGUUUACACCAUGUCGUCAUGUUGUAAUAUUUGCCACAUACGUUUCUUUACAAAGCUCCUGUAUUUAAUGUAAGUUAAAGUUUUGAGUACGUGUGUUUUUGUAAUGUGGUCUUUGCCAAAUAACAUCUAGGUUACUGCCUAUUAUUGCAAUACAUAUUAUUAGACCUACAAGACCUAGACCUUUUGCUUUUUGCUGAUCAACCAUACACUUUAGCCAUUAUGGUGAUUAUUCAGGUAGUUCCAUGGCCCACAGAGUUGCUUCAAUUCUGUCUUCCUAGAGAUGUGCAGGUGUCAGAUGGAUGUGCAGGUGUCUUCAAAGGUUGAACAAUAGCCUGAGGCAAGAGUUUGUGGACGGGAUCCUUUUCCAUGGGACAAUGUGUAAACAUCUCCACCUGGUCCAGUCCAGAUGCUGUGGUGCCAGUACGAGCCACUACCCAUGUAUCUGGUUCUGUAGUCCUGGCAACCUCCUGCAUUACCUAUGGACCCUGGGGAAUGGAUUCGGAGUCCUUGGAUCCACUCCAGCACUUUUCAGAGAGAUCAGUGUUUUCGGUGGCAAAGAUGGCAGCAGGCCAACAUGACAAGCUGGCCAAUCAGGGGACAGCUGAUGUCCCUCUCAAAUGGCAGGUUCCAGAGAGGAUGAAGCAUCCAACUAGACAGCAGUGAUGUGUGAGCGUUGGGACUUAAUCUGUGUUUGGGAAUCUGCCCCCGUAGCCUAGAGUAUACGUAGAUGCUUGUUUAAUUAACGUUCUGACUAAAUAUUUCUACAUGCCUUUGUUGCUUUUUGUAAUAUCAACAUGCUUGAUAGUGGUUUUCCUCUCACCCUCAGAUGGUCUUUUGGAAUCUAUACGUCUAUAUGAAUUGAUCACAUUGGGUAACUGUUACCUUGCACAUAUCUGAUUUAAAGUAAUUUUGCAAAUAUACCUCACCAAUAAGCUAACAAAAUUUAGGGUGACCAGUUUUAGUGGAGGACCCCUGUAAAUCUGUCCUUCCCUGGCCAAAAAGUCUGUAUAAUAUUCUCAUUAAACGAAAAUGUAUAUUCAAUCACUCCACAGCCAAGUAAACCUGUUAUUAGCUGUGUACCGCCCCCAUGUUGUGGCCACCUAUUUAAUGUCAUUGGGCUCUCAUUCUGUGCUAUUCAGAUCUCUCAGGUAUGACCUGAUGAAGUACUGCUGGAUGUGGAGCUUCAAGGACCGGCCUGUGUUCUCCGCCAUCAUCAAGCUUCUGAAGUCCUACACAUACCUGAUACUAGACAUCUACAUCCCAGAGGGCAUAGACAUCUUUGACUACACCAAGAGGGCAGGUGUGCUCCUCUAAAUAUCUAGCCUAAAGCAUCACAUUCAUGAAUGAAGAGGCUAAAAGCAAGCAGGGGCAGACUUGUCCAUUUUUAGCUCAUUGAGCUUAACUUUUUUUUGUUCAAAACUAUUAUCUGGCGAUAAAUUAGAAAUUGGCCAGUGAGGGGGGCCUCGAAAAUAAAUGGCCUGGUGUGAUAAACGCCAGGGCUGAUUUCUGGUCCCAGUCUGCCCCUGAAAGCAAGGAUUUGGUCCCUUACAAAGCAUUGCUGUAGUUGAUUCUAGGUUCAGGUGUACUGUACUGUGGCAUCAACAUCAAGAGAUUUUAUUAAACCUAGAUUAAAUGUUGUAAAUGACUUAACAUAAGGGUGUGUAAGUAUUGUAUGGCGAAUGCAACCUAUAGCCUUAUUGUAAGAUUGUACAAAUGUUAUAGAACACUGGGGAUUUUUGGAUGAGUGAGAAUUUCAGCACAAAAUGGAUGUCAGGAAGAAAAAUCUUCUAAUGUUAUUGUCACGUCACAAUUGUGUCAUCUUGUCAUGAAACCAGGCAAGUCAUUAUAAAUCACCACGUUUUAUUGUCAAAAGGUACAGAAUAAAAAAUAGAUCUUCAUAAGACGAUUACUGGUUUAUAAUUGGGUGAGUAUCACUCUUGUGCAUUGAACUGUAGUAAUGAGGCAUGUAAUUGUGGUCAUACAGUUGAAGUCACUGAUCAUGCUACGCAAAAUUGGCCUUUAAGUGUACUUCACUCCCUCUACGCUGUUGAUUUUGUUCAUAAAAUUGCUUGUCAUUGACCAUGAUGUUAACAAACCAGCAGUUUGGACCACGUGGAGGUGACAUUUAUAGGUGUACUGUAGAGUUGCUGUUGUCAGUCUCAAGACAUUUCAAAACAAACUCGUCACAUUGUCUCCAUCACUCACACACACAUCUAAAAUCCUAAAGCGAGGCACAAACCGCCAUUUUCAUAACACACCCAGUCAUGCGGAAAUGGAAUAAGUCCUUGCUCGACCGACUGGAUCAAGAACAGGAAUAUCUAGAUAUUUUCACACUACUGAGCGGAGCCGAACCAAGCCAAGAUGAGCAGGACUAGUUACACAUAAACCAUAGUUACUGGAACAGUGCUGGAAAGGACAGCAGGAAAGGAAAUGAUCCAAGCCAGCACAGUUCGGGCCGGCACUA